ensembl:lncRNA
CUAGCGGGCCGCGGCGCCCAGCCGCAUCCCGGGCGCGAGGAGCCAGGAGCGCCCGCACAGCCUCGCCAGGAACGCCCGCACAGCCUCGCCAGGAACGCGCCGGCCGCCCUGGGACCGGCGGGGCGGGGCGGGGCCGGGCGCAGCGCCUCCCCGAUCUGGGCCGCGCGGCUCCCGGCGCAUUCCAGCACCCUCCUCCCGCGCGCCGCGCUCGCUCCCCCGACAGCUGAUUCAUUGGCUCGGCCGCCCAGACAGCCUGGCGCCGGCCGCGUGACGUCACCCAUUCACCGAGCCCGCCUCCCCCCCUCCGCUGGCGCCGGCCGGGCGGUCGCCUUGACAACGCCGACGCCAGCCGGCACAAUGACUUCCAGCUGGAGCAUCCCAGGCAGCCCGCGCGCUCUCGCGCUAUCGCUGAGCCUAGGAGCGCGGGGUUCUGUCUUCAAAUGGAUUUUAAACACUUCGAAGGCAGAGAAGGACUCUCCUAAACUUUACAUCUACCGACUCAGUUGAAUAGAUGAUGCACAAUUGAAAGAAUAUGUGAGCUGAAUGCACCCUGGGCGAACCUGCAACCCUAAUCUCCAAGGGAACGGGGAACUUAAUGACGCCUCCGCCACCUCUGAGCAAACACAUCCAGAGCAGACCUGGGAGGGAUCAGGGC